UACGGAGGGUGCAAGCGUUGUCCGGAAUCACUGGGCGUAAAGGGCGCGUAGGCGGCUGGGGAAGUCGGCGGUGAAAGCCCGGAGCUCAACUCCGGGUCGGCCGUCGAGACUCCUCGGCUCGAGCUCACUAGAGGCAGAUGGAAUUCCGGGUGUAGCGGUGGAAUGCGUAGAGAUCCGGAAGAACACCGGUGGCGAAGGCGGUCUGCUGGGGUGAGGCUGACGCUGAUGCGCGACAGCGUGGGGAGCAAACAGG
rnacentral:rRNA from 1 species